UACAGAGGGGGCAAGCGUUAUUCGGAAUUAUUGGGCGUAAAGGGCGCGUAGGCGGUCUGACAAGUGGAAGGUGAAAUCCCUCGGCUUAACCGAGGAACUGCCCUCCAAACUGUUUGACUUGAGUCCGGGAGAGGUGAGUGGAAUUCCCAGUGUAGCGGUGAAAUGCGUAGAUAUUGGGAGGAACACCAGUGGCGAAGGCGGCUCACUGGACCGGAACUGACGCUGAGGCGCGAAAGCGUGGGGAGCAAACAGG
rnacentral:rRNA from 1 species